GACGAACCGUGCGAACGUUGUUCGGAAUCACUGGGCUUAAAGGGCGCGUAGGCGGCCUGAUAAGUAGGGGGUGAAAUCCUGCGGCUUAACCGCAGGGCUGCCUUCUAAACUGUCAGGCUUGAGCACAGUAGAGGCAGGUGGAAUUCCCGGUGUAGCGGUGGAAUGCGUAGAGAUCGGGAAGAACAUCAGUGGCGAAGGCGGCCUGCUGGGCUGUUGCUGACGCUGAGGCGCGACAGCGUGGGGAGCAAACAGG
rnacentral:rRNA from 1 species